rnacentral:rRNA from 1 species
GACGAACGCUGGCGGCGUGCUUAACACAUGCAAGUCGAACGGAAAGGCCCUGCUUUUGUGGGGUGCUCGAGUGGCGAACGGGUGAGUAACACGUGAGUAACCUGCCCUUGACUUUGGGAUAACUUCAGGAAACUGGGGCUAAUAACGGAUAGGAGCUCCUGCUGCAUGGGGGUGGUUGGAAAGAUUCGGCGGUUGGGGAUGGACUCGCGGCUUAUAAGCUUGUUGGUGGGGUAGUGGCUUACCAAGGUUUUGACGGGUAGCCGGCCUGGGAGGGUGACCGGCCACAUUGGGACUGAGAUACGGCCCAGACUCCUACGGGAGGCAGCAGUGGGGAAUAUUGCACAAUGGGCGGAAGCCUGAUGCAGCAACGCCGCGUGCGGGAUGACGGCCUUCGGGUUGUAAACCGCUUUCGCCUGUGACGAAGCGUGAGUGACGGUAAUGGGUAAAGAAGCACCGGCUAACUACGUG